AAGUGCAAUACCUGCGUCGACCUGUGACGAGCAGCAAAACACCGGAAAGCUUCUAGCCUACCGGAAAAUUACAAGAAGAACAAGAAUGGUUACCUCAUCCGGUCAUGUGACAUUUGUUGUUUUAUAGAUUUUUCGCCCACACCAGAUGUCUAGACCCUGAAUAGAUAACAGGGACCCUAGGACGGACGUAAAGGAGUUGAGGAAAUCCUGUUGACAGACAAUCAGAUCUGCGUGUGGAGGAGGAUGAAGACCUUUAGUUACGUGCAGGACAUAGUAAAACACUGACAUGCAGCUUUUCUCAGACGAGUGGUUACUAUGUGAAGGAAUGUGUUUGGAUUGGAAGUUGUCUCUUUAUGUUUCUUUUGAGAUGGUAUGGCCUCUGAGGACCCCCAAGACCAACUGGAUGAGGCUAUUAAAAAGGCAGAACGCCUUGCUGAGGAGCUCAACCAAGAGAAGGACCCACAAGCCCAACUGGACGAGGCCAUUAACGAGGCAAAAAGGCUGGCUGAGGAGCUCAGCCCAGAGCGGGAAAUGUAACAAGUCGUACAUUACCAGUAAUGUAACCCCUAUAGCUCCCAUACGUGCACAAAUAUUCUUAACACAACCCCAGCACCACAGCGUUAUGAUUUAUCAUUGCUUUUUGUUUGUCAAAGAAGACCCCACAUAGCACAAAUGUGAAUUUAAACGUAGACUCUGUGAUAUGACCUGAACACGGGCAUCAAUGAUAUUGCCCAUGAAGCAUGAGGCACAAGGGUGCACUUGUUAGCAUCCUUGUGAACUUCUAUACAUAUUAGCUGUGUGAGUGAGCCAGAACGUGGGUCUACUGCAGGUGCCUUUCCUCAGCUGACAAAUCACUUCACCUUAUGUGAAAAUAUAAUUCUUGCUUGUGCUCCAUAUGUGCACAAACAAGCCAUGCGUGAGGGAGACUUUUAUUAGUGGGCCAGCCAUGAUAAUUGAAAUGCACUUUUUAGGAAAAUAAGAAGAAAAAGACAAACAAGCCUCCAGGGAUUAGGUUCAGAUGGAGACAAAGGGAUGAGAGAGGACAGAUUGUUCCUCAAACCAGGAAGGCAACUACAUCCACUUCUCUUGCUCCAAGGGCCAGUACAUCAAGAGCCAGACUAGUGCAACAUUUUGGGCCAGUCACUGAGGAGGAAGAAUCAGAGACAAGGACCAGUGGAUUGGAAUCCACUCCAGUUUUAAACAUUGAUGAAGAAAUAGGUAUGUUUAAAUUGUUUUACUUUCAAAAUUGGGGUCAUCUUGGUGUUACUGAAUUAUACUGCACUACAUCUUUAUUUUGACAGUGAUGCAACAUUUUUAAAUGUGGCUCUAGUCUCCAGAAUUUCGGAUUUGAGAUCAAAUGUUUGAUAUGAGUUUACAGUACAGAAUGUCACCUUUUGUUUCAGGGUAUUUUCAGACUUUUCUGAUUUAUCAUUUUGAAAUGAAAGCACUUUAUAUGUCUAGUUGCAAGUUUUAUUAGUCGUAUGUACAGGAUACUGAUGGUAACACCACCCAACGAAAUGCUUACUUGCAGGUAGCUUCUCGACAAUGCAAUUCAAAAUGCUGGAGUAUAGAGACAAAUUCAACAUUUUACCGUCACUGUCCAAAUACUUCUGUAGGGGAGUGCAAUAGCAACAUCCGGGCAGAGCUUUUUCCUGCACAUUUCCUUUAAUAUGAAGCAAUCUGCCAUUCACACAUUAUGGAAUUAGUCUUAGUUGAAUUCAUUCAAAUCCACUAUUGGAAUGUUUACACAGUGUUGUUCCUUUUGCAACCACAGUCUGUAAUUGUGGAAGCUGGAAGCAUCUGCUUUUGAGGAGAGUUUACUCUGUAGUUAAAAUAUACUGAGUGUACAAAAUAUUCCUAAUAUUGAGUUGCACUCCCUUUUGCCCUCAGAACAGCCUCAAUUCGUCAGGACAUGGACUCUACAAGGUGUCGAAAGCGUUCCACAGGGAUGCUGGCCCAUGUUGACUCAAAUGCUUCCCACAGUUGUGUCAAGUUGGCUGGAUGUCCUUUGGGUUGUGGACCAUUCUUGAUAUACACAGGAAAAUGUUAAUCAUGAAAAACCCAGCAGCGUUGCAGUUCUUGAUACAAACCGUUGGACCUGGCACCUACUACCAUACCCCCUUCAAAGGCACUUCAAUAUUUUGUCUUUCCCAGUCACCCUCUGAAUGGCACACAUACACAAUCCAUGUCUCAAUUGUCUCAAGGAUUAAACAUCCUCCCCUUUAUCUACACUGAAAUGGAUUUAACAGUUGACAUAAAUAAGGGAUCAUAGCUUUCACCUAGUCAGUUUGUCAGGGAAAGAGAAUGUUUUGUACACUCAGUGUGUUUUUGCUGUUUUAAGAACAUUCCGAAUUUCUAUUCGACGAUGGGAUCAAGUUCUAUUGUUUGAUAUUCCAAUUUAGACUUUACUCAAUAUUUUGGUCUGCCCUGUAAUUUAAUUUACUGUAGAAUCAAAGCUGGGAUUUUUGGCUUGUCACACCAUAGAUUGUGCAGAGAUAUAUUUGCUGUCACCUACUUACAGCCUUAUGUGCGUUUUAACAGAUUAAUUUAAUCCUUUUCCCAUUUUGUGUUUUCAAAAAAGCAAUACUUAGUUGAGAAAUUAACAUCCUCCUAGCUGACUUAGAAGAUGCUGAGUGUUCAAAUCCUGCUGUGCCUGGUGCAUCACACAGUUGGAGUGUGAGGAAGGAACUCUCACAGGAUAGGUGGAGGGAGUCCAGGCCUGAGAUUGUAGAUUCUCUGCUGGCUGCAGAGCAUGCUUCUUAGAUCUGUCAGUCAUGCAAUGUGAAAAGGGCUAUUCUGCGAUGUAGAGACUGUCUGCUAAAACAGCUUUACUGCGAAGACUGCGAUGUCUCUACACAUGCAAAGUUCCCCCUGCACAAGAAACAGUCCAUGAUCGAGGGAUUCUACACGCCCCUUCCUCCAACUACAGCCAUAUCGCUCCACGGUGAUGGCAAAUAUGCACUUCAUGUCGCUACAAUGUCACAGUGCCUGUGCUGACCUGCACAACCUGUCUUAGCACCUGGACAGCAAACUUGGCAGAUCUGAUAAAGAAUGGGUACUGGCCUGCCACUGUCAACUUUGACACCAUAUACCAGGUAGAUUUGUUCAGCUCUUUUGAGGAGCUGAAAGUGUCAGCCCCAGGAAUGUCCCGUCUGGCGUUUAUGCGGAUUUUGGAGCAGCGAACUGACUUCUUUGGCAGGAACGGAAUGAUCUGUGGGGACACUUUUCAAAAAAGCUUCUUUGAGUGGACGUACUGCCGCUCUGAAAUUGAUCAGGUCUGUGAUAUACAGUACUUUGACUGCCCAGCCUGUUCCCCCGGCAUGCUUGCAGUGUCAGUGGAUGGGAACAAGAAGCUGUAUCGAUUCACAAAAGGGGUUAUGGAAAAGGGCUAUGUGGAGCAUCCCAGUGGACAGCAGCUAAAGAGUCGUCAAGGAAAACAAACAACAAACUUGAUGAAGAGGGACUCGAAGUUGCCGUCUGCCGCCACGGAAUACUUCUAAGGAGCCUCAACAUGAUGCGUGGAGAGAUAUUUGCUGUUCUUGCAGAAGGAAUUGUCUGGCAGCAGGAACAUACAAUUCAUGUGUACGGAUGUGAUCUGCAAAUUCAUUGCCCUUCAUUGUCCAGAGCUCGCCACUCUUCUAGACAUGAAGACACUUCUUUCCGUCAUGCAUGCAAAGGCACAUCGUUUGAAAUGCGAGCAAGAACAGACAUGCUAACCAUCCAGGCCAUGGGGUGGAACAGAAGGAAGAAGAACAACCUGCACAGAGUAUUGUCCAGAAGAUACUUGAAGACAACAUCAAAAAUCCAGGAAGAGACCCAGACUCUCGAAAAAUUUUAAGAGGGAUUUGGGUGUAGGCGAUGAGACUCUGUACAACUGGUCAACGGAAGUUCAGCAAUGGGCUAAUACAGAGGAAACAAAUGAGAACAUGGAUGGUCCCCAGGUACUACAGAGAACAAUUGAAGUCCUGUUUCUUAGCAUCAAACAAAGGAAACAGAACCUCUACCGUCAGACAGGACAGAUGGAUGCAAGAAAAGACACCUUCUGCACAGAAAGAUAUUGCAAGAAAAGGCCAAAUUGACAGCUGCCAUAGAGGAGUACAACACCCUUGUACCAGAUUCAGCAAUACCAUCUGCAGAUGAGAUCCUUUCCGCAGACCUUCAUGCAUGGCCUUGGGAGCUGCAUGGACAAACUGACCUACUCACAAAGAAAAAAGCUGUUGACUGGGUGAUGCUCCUGAGACGGCUGAAGGAGGACUCAACUCAAAAUGGUGUACUCUAAUGUCAAAGUGGACGAAAAUACGAAAAUAUAGAUUUUUUUACAAAGGCAUGCCUAAAUUAGUUCACAAGUUCAAUUUGGCUUAAAAAAAUCACAUAAUAUGUUAUAUGGACUCAAUGGGGGUUAACAUUAUUUUUGAAUAACUAUCCAUACCUCUGUACCCCAUACAUAGAACAUCUGUAAGGUCCCUCAGUCAGGUAUUGAAUUUCAAGCAACAAAGACCAGGGAGCUUUUUGAAAGCCUCAUAAAGAAGGACAGUGAUUGGUAGAUGGGUAACAAUAACAAAUCAGACAUUGCAUAUCUCUUUAAGCAUGUCUCUUUAACCGAGGAUGGAUCAACAUCAUUGUAGUAACGCCACAAUAGUGACUUUAAUUACAGUGAAAAGAAGAAUACAAAUAUACAGAAGAGAAAAAAAAUCUAGUCAUGCAUCUUGUAUGCAAUAAGGCACUGGAGUUAGUACUGAAAAAAACUGCAAAGGAAUAUACUUUUUGGUCUAAAUACAAAGCCUGUUUUCCACCAGACACUGGGAGAGGAAACGACCUUUCAGCAGGACAAUAACCUACAACACAAUGACAAAUCUACACUGGAGUUGCUUACCAAGAAGACAGUGAAUGUUCCUGAGUUGCCAAGUUCAAGUUUGGACUUAAAUUUGAUUGGAAAUCUAUUGCAAGACUAUUUAAAUUGUUGUCUAUACAUGAUCCCCAACAAAUUGACAGAGCUUGAAGAAUUAUAAAAAGAAUAAUGGUCUAAGUUUGCACAAUCCUGGUUUGUUAAGCUCUAAAAAUACUUACCCAAGAAGACUCACAGCUGUAAUCACUGUCAAAGGCGUUUCCAAGGGGUCUGACUACUUUUGCAAGGCACUGUAACGUCCAAUACCAAGGUACAGCCAAAACCAUAUGUAUUUGGUGGGUGAAGCUAAAAUUUGAAAUUUGGAUCUAUACUCCAGAAUUUAGUAUUUUAAAUAAAAGGUUUCAUGUACUAUAACUUUAAUACACUUUAAGUGAAUUUGUCCAAAUACUUAUGGCUUCUUCAAAUUGGGGGGACUAUAUACAUAAAGUGAUUUCCUUUCUAAAUUGUGAAAAGGUGACCUGUACUAUCGCCUCGUAUGAAACAUUUGAUCUCAAAUCCAAAAUUCUGGAGUUUAGAGUCAAAUUGUACAUUUUAGCUUCACUGUCCAAAUACAUAUGGUGUUGGUUGUACAGUAUAUCCUCAAUUCGUUCUAGGAGAUUAGUUGAAGUAACAUACCAUCCAGAGCAUGGCUUCCACCUCACUUUCUGCUCCUGACCCUUUAUUAUGCAACAAAUAGAAAUGUCUGUUUUAUUUUAAAGCUGCACUAUGCAGAAAUGGCUCCACAAUGUCAUGGUAGCUAAUAUCAGCUGUUUGAAGCUGUUGUACAAAACCAAAGUAAAAGACUCAAUAACAAAACUUAAGAACGGGAAGCAUAGAAAUAACGCACACUGUAGAACAGAUCUACCGCUUCUUAGACUUGCUUUCAAGUAGAAUGAUGAUCUGUAACUAACAUUUCUAUAUGAAUUUGGUCGGGCCACCCAAAACGUUACCUAUUGCCACUUUAACUACAAGGUCUAUGCACUGCAAGUUAACUACAAUUGGUGUUGCACUAGGAUUAGCCUGUAAAUACAAUCACAGGAAUUUCAAUGUUCUGCCGAUUACCUCCUUUGAAGUUCUAUUGGCAAGAAUCUUCUGAAUAGGGAAAAUUCUUUGCCACGGAUGCACUGGACACUCUGAAACAAUAAAUGCAUGUAUUUAUUUAAUCACCACCCACCAGAACAUGAAUAAAGUUAGCGGGACAGUCA